GUGGGGAAUAUUGGACAAUGGGGGCAACCCUGAUCCAGCGAUGCCGCGUGGGUGAAGAAGGCCUUCGGGUUGUAAAGCCCUUUAGGUUGGGAAGAAGGAAUGUCGUUUAAUACACGGCGUUUUUGACGGUACCGACAGAAUAAGCACCGGCAAACUCUGUGCCAGCAGCCGCGGUAAUACAGAGGGUGCAAGCGUUAAUCGGAGUUACUGGGCGUAAAGGGCGCGUAGGCGGUUAUGUGAGUGUGAUGUGAAAGCCCUGGGCUUAACCUAGGAAGUGCAUCGCAAACGACAUAACUGGAGUAUAAGAGAGGGUGGCGGAAUUUCCGGUGUAGCGGUGAAAUGCGUAGAGAUCGGAAGGAACGUCAAUGGCGAAGGCAGCCACCUGGCUUAAUACUGACGCUGAGGCGCGAAAGCGUGGGGAUCGAACAGGAUUAGAAACCCUAGUAGUCC
rnacentral:rRNA from 1 species